rnacentral:rRNA from 1 species
UACGUAGGGGGCAAGCGUUGUCCGGAAUUACUGGGCGUAAAGCGCGUGUAGGCGGUUAUCCAAGUCAGGUGUGAAAGCCUUGAGCUCAACUCAAGAAAUGCACUUGGUACUGGGUGACUAGAGGACCGGAGAGGAUAGUGGAAUUCCCAGUGUAGUGGUGAAAUACGUAGAGAUUGGGAAGAACACCAGUGGCGAAGGCGGCUAUCUGGACGGUUUCUGACGCUAAGACGCGAAAGCGUGGGGAGCAAACAGG